AUACGUAGGUGACAAGCGAUAUCCGGAUUUACUGGGCGUAAAGGGCGUGUAGGCGGUCUUGCAAGUCAGAAGUGAAAUUCCUGAGCUCAACUCGGGCGCUGCUUCUGAAACUGCAGGACUUGAGUGCUGGAGGGGAUAGCGGAAUUCCUAGUGGAGCGGUAAAAUGCGCAGAUAUUAGGAAGAAUACCAGUGGCGAAGGCGGUUCGCUGGCUGCAUACUGACGCUGAAGCGCGAAAGCCAGGGGAGCAAACGGGAUUAGAUACCCCGGUAGUCCUGGCAGUAAACGAUGUAUGCUGGGUGUGAGACUAGCGAUAGUUUCGUGCCGAAGUUAACGCGAUAAGCAUACCGCCUGGGGAGUACGGUCGCAAGAUUGAAACUCAAAUGAAUUGACGGGG
rnacentral:rRNA from 1 species